ensembl:lncRNA SNHG14 small nucleolar RNA host gene 14
GGAUCGAUGAUGAGUCCCCCAUAAAAACAUUCCUUGGAAAAGCUGAACAAAAUGAGUGAGAACUCAUACCGUCGUUCUCAUCGGAACUGAGGUCCAGCACAUUGCCUCCACUUUGGCUUAUUGUGGUUCACGGCACACUCAUUUCCUCUGCACCUUCCUGGUGUCAUUGGCAUGGAAGGAAGGCCCUUGUCCAAGAAGGAUGGUCUUCGUCUUGUGUGAUCUUUGAGAUGCCAUGAGGCCCCUGGAUACAAAUGGUGUGGGCUCCUUUGGAGGCUUUUGGAUUUCUCCUGAAUGUGGCGUUGGUAUGGAAGGAAGGCCAGUGACCGCAAGGGAUGACUUUGAUCUUGGGAGAUUUUUGGAGAUGGCAAAGUGCUUCUAAACAUGUUUGGCAUGGUCUCCUUCAGGCUGGUGGAUACCUCAGGAUGGUGGCGUUGGCAUGGAAGGAAGGACUGUGUCUGUGAGGGAUGAUCAUCCUCUCAUGUGAUCCUUGGAGAUGCCAGGAAGCCCCUUGACACAUGUGGCAUGGGCUCCUUCAGAGGCUUUUGGAUCCGUCGUGAAUGUGGCAUGGGCAUGCAAAGAAAGACAGAGGCUGCAAGGGAUAAACUUCAUCUUGGGAGAUCCCUGGAGAUGGCAGGGAACCCAUGGACACAUGUGGCAUGGGCUCCUUUGGGUGCCGGUGGAUCCCUUCAUACGGUAGUGUUGGUGUAAAAGGCAAACCCGUGUCAUGAGGGAUGGUCAUCAUCUUGUGUGAUCCUUGGAGAUGGCAGGAAGCCCUGGACAUACAUGGUGUGGGGGCUCCUCCAGAGGCUGUUGGGAUCCUCCUGGAUGUGGUGUGGGCAUGGAAGGAAGGCCAGUGGAGACAAUGGAUGAUCUUGUUCUUAGCAGAUCACUGGAUGUGGCAGGGAGUCCUAGGACAUGUGUGGUGUGGGCUUCUUCAGGUGCUGGUGGUGUUGGCAUGAGGAAAGGAGGUAUCUUCGAGGGACAAUCUUCUUCUUGUGCGAUCCUUGGAGAUGCCAUGAGGCCCCUGGACACAUGUGGUGUGGGCUCCUUUGGAGGCUGUUGUAUCCCUUCUGAAUGUGGCGUGGGCAUAGAAGGAAGGCCAGUGGCCACGAGGGACAAUCUUGGUCUUGGGAGAUCCUGGAAAUGAUAGGGAGUCCCUUGAUAUGUGUGGCAUGGGCUCCUUCAGGUGCUAGUGGAUUCCUUAGGAUGGUGGUGUUGGCAUGAAAGGCAGGCUUGUAUCAUGAGGAAUGAUUGUCAUCUUGUCUGAUUCUUGGAGAUGGCAGGAAGCCCCUGGAAACACAUGGUGUGGACUCUUUCACAGGCUGUUGAAACCCUCCUGAAUGUGAGGCCAGAGACAGGCAGACAGCAGAUGUAUUGCAGGGAGCUGGAUGACAUGGCCCUUGGAACCUGUGCACAUGCCUGCCUUUCUGAUGCACGUCCAUGUUUUCUCUGCACCUCCCCGGUGGUGUUGGUAUAAAAAGCAGGCUUACAUCAGCAAGGGAUGAUUGUCGUCUCAUGCGAUCCUGGGAGAUGGCAGAAGUCCCGGGACACAUGGAGUGUGGGCUCUUUCGGAGGCUGUUGGAUCCCUCCUGAAUGUGUUGUGGCCAUGGAAGUAAGGCCAGUGGCUACGAGGGACAGUCUUCAUCUUGGGAGAUCCCUAGAGAGGGCAGGGAGCCCCUUGACAUGUGGAAUGUGAUCUCUGUUGGGUGCUGGUGGAUCCCACAGGUGGUCUGGCAUGGAAGAAGGCCAGAGGCUGCGAUGGAUCAUCUUUGUCUUGGGAGAUUCCUGGAGAUGGUGGGGAGCCCCUGGGCACGUGCAGCAUAUGUGGCGUGGGCUUCUUCAGGUGCUGGUGGAUCCCUCAGGAUGCUUUUCAAGGUUUUUCUAUGAGUUCUGUUAAAGAGUCUGAAAAUGGAGCGUAGAAGACAUGCUUCGAUUUCCAGGAUGGUUGUGUUUUCCAGAGAGGCGGAGGUAAACCACUGGCGCAGCCCUGCCUCCCACAGAUAAUUCCGGGUGCAGUGUUUCAUAUCUAGACUUGGACUUCUAUCCUACCAUACUUCUUUGUGUGCAGUUCAUUGUGGAACCAGCACAGAUUUUCAUACGAAAGUUAUUUCUUUUUAACCUCAAAAAGUGACAGAAUGGAGUGUAUCAUGAAAAAGUCUGACAUCAAAACCUCAAAAUGUGAUAUUGAUUGGGUGAGAUAGAAUUCCAUGGAAUUUCAUUGCCAAACCAGUGAAGUGCUAAUUUUGACAUUUGUACCAGCUAACGUAGCUGUGAAGAAACACACCAAUACACUUCUAAGGACAGCAUAGACCAAGAUCUAGGUUUCAUAUGGAUGAAUUUAUUCUUCCCUUUGAGGCAAGACAAGAAGGAAAGAAAGUAUUGGGAAUAAUGCUGCCCUCCCAUCCUCAAGGGCCAGUGGGAACUCUAAUAUUGAUUGGGUGAGAUACAAUUCCAUGGAAUUUUACCACUGAACCAGUGGAGGGCUAAUUUUGUCAUUUGUACCAGUUAACUAACUUGGGAGGAAACAGAACAACACACUCCUGAGUUUUGGGGUACAUAUGCAGAA